AAUGACAUCUUCAUUCAAAAAAAAAAAAAAAAAGUUUUCGGCUUAAGACUGCUUACGGUGCCAUUUCUUCUUCUUCAACUUCUCUUCCUUCUUCUUCUUCUUCUUCU
rnacentral:ribozyme from 14 species